rnacentral:lncRNA from 1 species
GCAAGACACAGGUGUUUAUUGAAUCCAGGCCCAGCCUGGCCUACAGCUCAGAAUGAAGGGCUCAGGGAAGACAAAGGUUAUAAAACUGCUUUAAUGGAAAGCCCCCCCCCCAAUACACCAUCUGGGAUGGGGUAGAUGUGGCCAGGGCUGGCCCCAGGACAAUACUGAGCCUGUAGUCGUUACCAAAAUAUACAUCUGUCACCAUAAAAAACUNCUGCACCGCCUCAGCCCCACAGGUAUAAAAUCAUAAAUAUUUACACUCUUCCACGCCUUUCACAGAACCAGGGUGCAGGGAACUCCUCCCAUACAAACAGGCUAGGGUGGAGGUGGGCAGAAAACAAAAACUUUGGUCCAAAAUGUGAAGGUAGAGACCCCCAAGUCUCAGAGCUUUCUCUCCAGCCCUGGCCUGGGCCCACCUGCAAGUCGGUCA